GCUUAUCAAAUAAAUAUCAUGUCCAAAAUAUAUCCCACAUGCGGACACAGCAAAUCAAGAAAAUUUGCGAGCUUCAUAGUUAUAUACAGUAGUAAUUAAUAAAGUAGGGUAAUAAUCACUUCAGAAAAACCAAGCAAUUAAUAAUAACUUCACCGCAGCAAUACAUGGAUACAAAGUACAACUACAUUCAUGGAACAGAGACUUCAAAAGUAAUUAACCUAAAGCUCAAUGAUACACAUACACAUAUAAUUAAUUAGGGGUACAUACUUGAGCUUGAAACUAUCCAUUAUUACUAAUCUUUGAGAUCCGAGGCGGCCAUGGAUCGGAAAACCUUCUCUAUGAUUUUGCCCCUUCUGGGAACUGAGGCUGCAAGAGAUUUGUGUCCCUUGAGAGAACCUCCAUUAUUAUUGGCAAUAGAAGAGGCAGCAGCAGGUUGAGAUGAUUCUCUUGUGGUUCCAUCAUGAUGAUGAUGAUCACUCAUUGUGAUGGUGUCGCUCAUAUUUGCUUGCUUCAGAGCUCACAAGUCACAAUAAUGCAAUUAAAAAGAAGAAGAAAAGUAGUAGUUACUUACUACUCUGGUGUGAGUGGAGCCUUAUCUUUUGUAUAAAAACGACAAACAAUCAAUCAUAUGGAUCGCACAUUAUUAAAUGUAAUUACUAAGCUUUUCUUUUUUUCUAUGAGUAAUUACUAGUUGGUAUCAUUUUUCAACAAGUGUAC
rnacentral:lncRNA from 1 species